rnacentral:rRNA from 1 species
AGUGAACGCUGGCGGUAGGCCUAACACAUGCAAGUCGAACGGCAGCACAGUAAGAGCUUGCUCUUACGGGUGGCGAGUGGCGGACGGGUGAGGAAUACAUCGGAAUCUACUUUUUCGUGGGGGAUAACGUAGGGAAACUUACGCUAAUACCGCAUACGACCUACGGGUGAAAGCAGGGGAUCUUCGGACCUUGCGCGAUUGAAUGAGCCGAUGUCGGAUUAGCUAGUUGGCGGGGUAAAGGCCCACCAAGGCGACGAUCCGUAGCUGGUCUGAGAGGAUGAUCAGCCAAACUGGAACUGAGACGCGGACGAGACAACUACGGAAGGCAGCAGUGGGGAAAAUUGGACAAGGGGCGCAAGCCUUAUCCAGCCAUACCGCGUGAGUGAAGAAGGCCUUCGGUUUGUAAAGACCUUUUGUAGGGAAAGAAAAGCAGCAGGUUAAUACCCCGCUGUUCUGAAGGUACCAAAAGAAUAAGCACCGGCUAACUUCGUG